rnacentral:rRNA from 1 species
UACGGAGGGUGCAAGCGUUAAUCGGAAUUACUGGGCGUAAAGCGCACGCAGGCGGUUUGUCAAGUCGGAUGUGAAAUCCCCGGGCUCAACCCGGGAACUGCAUUCGAAACUGGCAGACUAGAGUCUUGUAGAGGAGGGUAGAAUUCCUGGUGUAGCGGUGAAAUGCGUAGAGAUCUGGAGGAAUACCGAUGGCGAAGGCGGCUCUCUGGACAAAGACUGACGCUCAGGUGCGAAAGCGUGGGGAGCAAACAGG